UCACAUCUAUGAAAUUGAAGAACUGGUAAUUGUUCUUUGCCACCACUAGUGUAAAUCAGGUAAUGUUACAGGCUCAACUCCUCAUUCACAUAUAAGAUGGUGGGAUAUGUGGUGGGUAAUUCCUGGGUCGAUUGAGGCUUUGUUUCAGUGGUGGGCAGGGGCUUUGGUUAAGAAAAAAGAGGUGAAGGUGUGGAAAAUUGUGCCGCUAGUUUUAUUUUGCCAAUUUGGUAGUUAAGGAAUGAUAUAUUGUUUAACAGUGGCCAUCCUAAUUUUGAUGAUUUGGAGGACAUUGUGAAGACCAGGAUUGCAUUUUGGGCUAAGAACAAUUUACCAGGUGUGCAGUACGGAGUGCAUGAUUUUGUUCAUAGGUCAGACAUUGCUUGAGAUGAAGGGUGUUUACUGGGGCACUGUGGUGGCAGUGUUCUGGGACGCCUUGUGCUGGUUUUGCUGUCAAGUCCUGCUGUUGCUGUGUGUAGUCCAGUUGCUGGGUGCGUAGUCCCACUGCUGUGGUCUUGUUAUGGGAAGCCCUCUGCUGGUGUUUUUGCUGUUAUGAACUGCUGCUGCUGGUCCUAUAGUUGCUGGUUCUCUUGUUGCUGGUGUUUGCUGUCAUGUGUAGUAACAGUUUGCAGUAGUAGUGUGCUGCUGUAGCUGUGUACUUGGUGCACUUAUCAGUUUGUUAGCAGUCCUGUUAUAGCUUCUGUGUUGUUUGCUUGCUGGGUUGUCAUGCAGUUGCUAAUGUUUGCGGGGUUGAAAUGCUGUUGCUGAUGUUUGCUGGGUUGACAUGCUGUUAUAGCUGUUGUUUUGCUACCUUGGGUGCUGUUGGUGCUGCUGUCUAUUGGUGCUGCUUGUUGCUACCUUGGGUGUUAAAUACUGGUGCCUCUUCCUGUGGCAAGGAGUUUGAUGGUGUAUUGUUUAGAAGUUGCUGGAAGAUUUUACAAGGGAAGGAGUUGGCAGAGUUGGAUGGUUGUCCUUGCGGUGUGGUUGGUCUGUUUUUUACUGUUUUUCUUUUUGUUUCUCUGUUUUGGAUUGGUUUCUCGUCAAUCUGUGGGUUUAGUGCUACCAUAUAAUUGUGCUUCCUCCUUGAUGCCAACCUAGUUGGGAUUGUGGAGUUUAGCUAUGAUGUUUUUUGCACUUCCCUUCUUUAUUGAUGUUUAUUGUUGCUUGUAUUUGCUCACCUCAUCAAUAAAGUUUUCCUUUUCUUGCUGGUCAAAAAAAAAAACUCACAUAGUGAAAAGGGGGAAAUAAAAUAAAUUAAAAAAAUAAAAGAUAUUUUUUUUCUGUUACUUUUUGGGAAGUGGAAAUUGCAUCAAUAAAAUAUCUAAAUUAAUUAACUAAACUAUGCUAGGUGAUAUUAUGUUUCGUUCUGUUUAUGUGUGUGUAUUAGUGGUGGACAUAUGGAAAUGUUAUUUUAAAGGGAUGAGAGUUUUGAAAAAAAAUUCCUUUUACCUAGUUCCAAAUAAAAUAUUAGAGUGAAUUUAUGACAUGAAUGUCUGCCCGAUGUAGUGAAGAGCAUGGAUGUAAGACUCUCUCUGGCUAUAAUUUGAUAUAGUGUUUUCAUCUAGGCUAUGUUACAUUUAGACACUUGGGCUAUUAAAGCAUGAGAACAUGCGUUAAAUUUGAUGUUAUUCAUUUUAUUCAAAAAAUACCAGAGCUUUGCUUAUUACUCUCAAUCUACUCCUAGUACCCUGUUUUGUUGUAGUGUUGAUACAGUUUAUGUAGUUGGUGUGUUUUACCUCUUUUGUUGUUGAUCUAAUUGUUCUUGUUGUUGAUCUGAUUGUUAAUGUGAAUGCCCAUUUUCUUAUUAACAGUUGAAUCAUGAAAUUGUCAACUAGCAAGAUGAGUGGAGAGAAUUCAAAAAAAGCUGAGAAAAGAAUUAGGAAGGAGCGUGAAGCUAUAAUUGCUACGACAAUGGAUGAUCUUCAAGAUGUAAUAGGAAGUAUAGUUGCAUGGCCUAGUCAAUUCAUUUUUUUGGACUAAAUAUUAGAAUAAUUGAUUUACGAUUUGUAGUUAUGCUUUUUGGAUGUUUAAAGUCGUAUUUUAGAAAUUAGUAAAUCUUAUGAUUUGGAUACUUUUCUUAGUUUGUAUGUUUGAGAUUGUUAUUAGCUUGAUAUGAUAAAAGUUAAAGAUGGAAGUUAGUAUGAA